rnacentral:rRNA from 1 species
CCUACGGGUGGCAGCAGUGAGGAAUAUUGGUCAAUGGACGAGAGUCUGAACCAGCCAAGUAGCGUGAAGGAUGACUGCCCUAUGGGUUGUAAACUUCUUUUAUAUGGGAAUAAAAUGUUCCACGUGUGGGAUUUUGUAUGUACCAUAUGAAUAAGGAUCGGCUAACUCCGUGCCAGCAGCCGCGGUAAUACGGAGGAUCCGAGCGUUAUCCGGAUUUAUUGGGUUGAAAGGGAGCGUAGGUGGAUUGUUAAGUCAGUUGUGAAAGUUUGCGGCUCAACCGUAAAAUGGCAGUUGAUACUGGCAGUCUUGAGUACAGUAGAGGUGGGCGGAAUUCGUGGUGUAGCGGUGAAAUGCUUAGAUAUCACGAAGAACUCCGAUUGCGAAGGCAGUUCACUGGACUGAAACUGACGCUGAGGCUCGAAAGUGUGGGUAUCAAACAGGAUUAGAUACCCCUGUAGUC